CAAACUAACGAAUGGAUUUCCAAUGAUUUGUCAAUAAUUCAUUUCUAUAAAAGGGCACAUUCAUCAUUAGACACAUAGAAGUUGGAUAAACCCAACAACCUUCCAUCCAGAGGCAACAAAAUUGACACCCAUUUUUUAGAGUUGUUGGUGCCUCAUCCUAUAACUGACAACAACGUUAGGAAAUUUGGAGACGUUGUUAGGGGCCCCGAGAAGAGUUAUCUUUUCUUUUUAACAUCUUUACCACCCUAAAAUCGGCUCAACCGGAGAUAGGGUCCAACAGCUGGAAGAGCAUCGCACGUCUUGUGGUGUCUAGUGCACCCUCGAUGGCCCUUGAAAAUCUAGAGGACUGAGUACCGUCCAUGCCCAGUAGUACUCAUAACCGCAUCAGGUCUCCAAGGUGAACAACCUCUG
rfam:Picea glauca, whole genome shotgun sequence.